AUGAAAAACAUAAGUACGUAUUUCUUUGCAUGCAUUCUCCACAUAUCUUCUCAGCACAGCAUACGCACGUUAAUGCCCAGGAUAUCAGUAUAUAGAACCAAAUGGAAGAUGAAACAACCUCAAAAUUUCCCUAGCCCAACAAUGCAUGUAUUUUUAAGCAACACGCAGUUCAAACGCACCAGAAAUCCAGCUGCAAUGGCUGCAACUUUUGGUUUUCUACAGCAACUUCAGCAACAUAAUGAUACAACCAUGGUGCCAGCAAGAAAGUGGUGUGUAUUAACAUUUAUUAGAUUAACUCGUUUAGCUACUUCUGUCGUCGCAGGAAAACCUGCAACCUAA
rnacentral:rRNA from 1 species